GGGUGGAAUACGGGAGACGCUGCGGCAAAAUCCGCAGGGCCGAAGGAGCAACCGCCCCGGUAAACUCUCAGGCAAAAGGACCGCAUUUCACCA
rfam:Thioclava indica strain DT23-4 contig2, whole genome shotgun sequence.